UACGUAGGGUGCGAGCGUUGUCCGGAAUUAUUGGGCGUAAAGAGCUCGUAGGCGGUUUGUUGCGUCUAUCGUGAAAACCUGCGGCUUAACUGUGGGCUUGCGGUGGAUACGGGCAUGACUGGAGUUCGGCAGGGGAGACUGGAAUUCCUGGUGUAGCGGUGAAAUGCGCAGAUAUCGGGAGGAACACCAGAGGCGAAGGCGGGUUACUGGGCUGAGUACUGACGC
rnacentral:rRNA from 1 species